rnacentral:rRNA from 3 species
AAUGGGUCAGCGACUUAUAUUCUGUAGCAAGGUUAACCGAAUAGGGGAGCCGAAGGGAAACCGAGUCUUAACUGGGCGUUAAGUUGCAGGGUAUAGACCCGAAACCCGGUGAUCUAGCCAUGGGCAGGUUGAAGGUUGGGUAACACUAACUGGAGGACCGAACCGACUAAUGUUGAAAAAUUAGCGGAUGACUUGUGGCUGGGGGUGAAAGGCCAAUCAAACCGGGAGAUAGCUGGUUCUCCCCGAAAGCUAUUUAGGUAGCGCCUCGUGAAUUCAUCUCCGGGGGUAGAGCACUGUUUCGGCAAGGGGGUCAUCCCGACUUACCAACCCGAUGCAAACUGCGAAUACCGGAGAAUGUUAUCACGGGAGACACACGGCGGGUGCUAACGUCCGUCGUGAAGAGGGAAACAACCCAGACCGCCAGCUAAGGUCCCAAAGUCAUGGUUAAGUGGGAAACGAUGUGGGAAGGCCCAGACAGCCAGGAUGUUGGCUUAGAAGCAGCCAUCAUUUAAAGAAAGCGUAAUAGCUCACUGGUCGAGUCGGCCUGCGCGGAAGAUGUAACGGGGCUAAACCAUGCACCGAAGCUGCGGCAGCGACGCUUAUGCGUUGUUGGGUA